GAUCUGCCAGCAUUGCAAAUGAGCAAGAAUUCAGUUUACAUAUGGCCCAUUGGGGAUUAUGCAUCACUCAGUCAUAAUUAUACUUAUGGUGGCCAUAUUAUAUCUAAUUUUCAUCCGGUAAAUGAUUGAAAGAUGUUAAUGCCAUGUCUAUUUGAAAUUUAAUAAACAGCUGCUCCCCGUUGUCAUCGUGACCACAUAAAUAAAGCGUGUCACAACGUGAAACGGAAGGCAGGUGCGAAAACAGGUUUCAAACAUGGCAUGUACACAGCGAGGCAACAACGAGCUGAAAAUGAAAGCAAAGAAAAUGAUGAAGGAUGCAAAAGAUCCUAUUGAAAAACUUCGCUACGCUUGUCUAGCGCGAGGGGCCAAUGGAAUAAAAGGCCUGGGCAGAACAUUCAGAAUCAUGGACGAUGACUCAGAUUUAAGUCUCAACAUUAAAGAAUUUAAAAAAGGAAUCCAUGAUUAUGGUUUGAUAAUGGAGGAUGAUGUCAUGACUUCUAUGUUUCAACAGUUAGAUAAAGAUAACAGUGGAUCCCUGUCAUUUGAUGAAUUCUUAACUGCACUUAGGCCACCCAUGAACAAUUCAAGGAAAGAACUGGUACGGAGAGCUUUCCAGAAACUAGACAAAACAGGAGAUAAUGUGGUGACAGUGCAAGAUUUACAUGGUGUGUACAACGUCAAAAAACACCCGAAAUAUAUCAGUGGAGAAUGGACGGAGGACCAGUGCCUCAAACAGUUCCUGGACUCAUUCGACUCUCCAAACGACAAAGACGGACAGGUAAACAUCUAUGCACUAUAGUGUGAAAGUAGUGGCUUCUUGAUUAGAGAUACAUGCCUGAGGAAAGGAUUUAGGAGGAAUGUUCAUGUAAAUUCAUUAUUGAAGAUUAAUUGUUGAAAUGUUCUGAGUGCUCUUACAGCUUGAUUUAAUAUGUAUUUAUCAAUUUGAGAAAGAUUCCCAAGAAACUUUCAAAAGUAAUCAAAUUUCUGUCUUGGAUUACAUUUCUUGCAAAUAUUUCAUCAAAGAAAAUGAUAUCAGUUAUUAUAGAGAUGCUGUAUACACAUGUAUAUGAUUAUAGUUGCAUGGACUACAUACAUGUAUAAGCCACUUCACCUGCAUGCAGAAACUUACUCACUGCUAUAUAUGUAUACUGUAUAGAAAUACAUCAGUUUAGUAAUCGCAUCACAUGCAGUCAGGGUCAUUAGAAAAUUAUGUAUAAGCCAAGAAGAGUGAAUUUUCAUUGAAAAUGGGUUUUUUUUUCUUGGCAGCCCAAUUGUAAGCAUUCUGUAAUACAUAUUUUUUUUUUUUUUAAAUUGUCAACUACAUUUUGUAUAACAUUAGAAGAAUACAUGCAUAUGUGAAUAUUACAUGCCAUUGUAUAUAAUCAAGAUAAAUUUGAUAGUACCCAUCAACAGUCCAAUGACUAUUUCUUUACAGUAAAUAUUCAAAUAGAUAUAAUAUUGUUAAAUUCCUAGGUGUUUCAGGGUACCUAAGUCAAUGUUAAUUUCCUAAGUGUCUUGGGAUACCUAAGUAAUAGUUAAUUUCCUAAGUGUUUCAGGGUACCUAAGUCAAAGUUAAUUUCCUAAGUGUUUCAGGGGUACCUAAGUCAAAGUUAAUUUCCUAAGUGUUUCAGGGUACCUAAGUCAAAGUUAAUUUCCUAAGUGUUUCAGGGUACCUAAGUCAAAGUUAAUUUCCUAAGUGUUUCAGGGUACCUAAGUCAAAGUUAAUUUCCCAAGUGUUUCAGGGUACCUAAGUCAAAGUUAAUUUCCUAAGUGUUUCAGGGUACCUAAGUCAAAGUUAAUUUCCUAAGCGUUUUCGGAUACCUAAAACAUUGUUAAUUUUCUAAGUGUUUCAGGGUACUUAAGUCAUUGUUAAUUUUCUAAGGGUUUCAGAGUACCUAAGUCAUUGUUAAUUUCCUAAGUGUUUUAGGAUACCUAAGACAUUGUUAAUUUUCUAAGUGUUUCAGGGUACCUAAGUCAUUGUUAAUUUCUUACAUAUUUUAAGGUAUCCUGACCAUAACAAUGCAUCUUGCACUUGGCUGAAUUUUGAGUUAUUCAAAAAGCUUGAUAAAAUCAUGUCUUGAAAUGACUUAAUAAAAUCAAAUCUGAAUUACUGGUGCAUUUGAUUGCUUAAUUUGCUUCCAAACAUUUUUGCACAGUUUUGUUUUGCUGGCCUUCUCCAAAUAGACAAGCUAUCAAGAAUGUCCAGAUACAGCAUGUAUCAUGACGAAGCCUCCCACCAAUAUGUAUUCCAACCUAAUAAUUCUGAAUCCAGAAUUAGGUUACUAGAUUUACAGAAUUAGAUCAGAUUUACAAAAUUACCUCAGCAAGCAUUUGACAAAAGUCUGCUCUAUUGCAUAACACUUAGUCCAAAUAAUGAACAAUGAAACAAAAUCCUUUAAUCUUCUUGGUGACAAUUAAUUAAUUGACAACUGUUUUAGAAAUUCUAUGUGUGCUCCUUGCCCACCUUCUAUUUUCAGUUGAAAGAGCUAGCUGAAUAAGUUUUGUCUACAUAAUUUUGUAAUAACCCUGAUAAAAUUGAAUAACAAGUAUAUUCAUGUAUCAAAUACAUGUUAAUCAUUUUCUAAGAACAUAAUAAUUCACAUACCAGUUCUUGUUGAGAGAGCUAUUAGAAAGUUAUUCCCUUCUUUUUCAGUUACAAAAAUAAAAAAAAAAUACAGAUUCUGAAAACACAAUAUUGAUGACUUUAUACACAGUUGUUUAAACUAGGUGUACAUUACACACUAUGUUCAGCCAUAGAGAUUAUAAUAAAAGCCAAUCUUAAACAUAGAUAAAUGAUAAUUACAUGAAUUUUUAUGACAUGUACACAUACAUUUUAGACCAUGCAAUAAAAUUCAUAAUUUACAGAUUACUUAAUAUUCAAUAUAGGGACAUCUCAGAAACUUUCAAAGAUUGUUUCAGAGAUCGCUAUGGUGAUGAACUAAUCAUUGAACUUUGUGCUAAACACUUGAUGUUGUGUUUCUGACAGGUUACCGAGGAAGAGUUCUUGAACUAUUACUCUGGAGUUAGUGCUUCAAUUGACAAUGAUGCUUACUUUAACCUCAUGAUGGUUAACGCUUGGAAAUUAUGAAUGAUGCAGACAGUUUUUUACUCAAACAUUCCCAUUAACCAUUUUUAUUUAAAAACAUAUUUGUGAUGAUGGUUUAUAUAAGUAGGAAAAAUGGUAGUUAUUUAGAGAAUGAAAAUUUUGUCUAUUUGUUUAGAAAAAAAACAACUAUUGUAAUUCUUACAGCUCGACAUGUGUUAGAUUAAGCUACCAAUCUGUAUGCAAAAACAUGUAGUAUCGGUAUAUGCUUAUAUAAGUUUUCCUAAACCUCUCACCCUUGAAAUCUAGAUAUUUGCUACAGUAUAGCUUUCAGAUGUAGUGGAAAAUGGAGUAGAUUGCACUGUGUAGCUUUAAAAAAAAAAAAGAACGAGACUGUUGGCUAUUUUCCACUAUGACUAGAGCACUGCCUGAAACUGACGAGAACUUAGUGAGAUGUAGCAGGAGCACAAACUGUGACAGCACACGGCACAGAAAACACCAAGACAAAGACUUUUGCUUUCUGUAUUUCAGUUCUCUGUUAUUGAUUUUUGAUUUAAUUUCUUAUUCUAAUGUUUGCCAAUCACAGGGUUUGUUGAAACUGGGUAAUUUUUUCUUUAAUUUUAAUUUUUGUUUUUGUUGAAUAAAAUUUGUUAUAUUGUAUGUGCCGAUACUUUCUAUGUUAAAAGGAAGAAUUUUUGUUUACUUACUGAAUACUUGCAUUUGUUGGCAUUCACUUUGAAAGAUUUCCUACAUUUUGUGUGCUAUUUGUAUAUUUACAUAGAGUCUUGUCAGCUUGAAAUUCCCUUCAUUUUAUGAUAAGCACUUUUUAGUUCGAAUUGGAAUAGCAAUAUUUUCAUUUUUAUGGGAAAUUUAAUUAAAUUUUUUACAACAAUUUUAAUUUUUAAAGAAAUAUAAUGUCAGAUUUAUAAUGAAAAUUAAAAUUUAGACACAAAUCAAAUUUGUUGUUAUUUUCAAUAUGCAAAUGGGCAUCAUCUUGUGUAAAAGUUAGAAUGAAUUUUUAAAAACCUGCAUGAUAGAUCGAGCUUUUUUGUUUAUCGUGUUAUUUUUUAGUUGAUGCAACAAAUGACCUACCACCAUGCAUGUAAUGAAUUUGAUAAUAUAUUGCGAACAGGAGAUAGAGGGAAUUUAUCCUUUUAGUCAGUAAAAAGAAAACAAAAAAUAAAAAAAAUAUUUAAAAAAAAAA